rnacentral:rRNA from 1 species
UACGUAGGGGGGCAAGCGUUGUCCGGAUUUACUGGGCGUAAAGAGCGUGUAGGCGGCCAAGCAGGUCCGUUGUGAAAACUGGAGGCUUAACCUCCAGACGUCGACGGAAACCGCGUGGCUAGAGUCCGGAAGAGGAGAGUGGAAUUCCUGGUGUAGCGGUGAAAUGCGCAGAUAUCAGGAAGAACACCAAUGGCGAAGGCAGCUCUCUGGGACGGUACUGACGCUGAGACGCGAAAGCGUGGGGAGCGAACAGG